AGUGAACGCUGGCGGCAGGCCUAAUACAUGCAAGUCGAACGGCAGCACGGCAGAGCUUGCUCUGUGGGUGGCGAGUGGCGGACGGGUGAGGAAUACAUGGGAAUCUGCCCAGUCGUGGGGGAUAACGUAGGGAAACUUACGCUAAUACCGCAUGCGCCCUUCGGGGAAGCCGGGGACCUUCGGGCCUGGCGCGAUUGGAUGAGCCCAUGUCGGAUUAGCUAGUUGGCGGGGUAAUGGCCCACCAAGGCGACGAUCCGUAGCUGGUCUGAGAGGAUGAUCAGCCACACUGGAACUGAGACACGGUCCAGACUCCUACGGGAGGCAGCAGUAGGGAAUAUUGGACAAUGGGCGCAAGCCUGAUCCAGCCAUGCCGCGUGAGUGAAGAAGGCCCUCGGGUUGUAAAGCUCUUUUGUCCGGAAGAAAGCGCCGGGUUAAUACCCUGGUGUCCUGACGGUACCGGAAGAAUAAGCACCGGCUAACUUCGUGCCAGCAGCCG
rnacentral:rRNA from 1 species